rnacentral:rRNA from 1 species
CUCAAUGAACUUUCAAUAGCCGCAACUAUGUUGUGCUAAGGUAGCAUAAUCAUUUGUUUUUUAAUUAAAAACUAGUACGAAAGAUUUAACAUUUUUAUUUCUUUGUAAAAUAUAAUUGUUCAAAAUUAUCCUAAAUAUAAAAAGAUAUUUAUUUAUAAAAAAGACGAUAAGACCCUAUUGAACUUCACUGUUGUUUAACUGGGGAAGUUAAUCAAUUAAUAUUUUAAUUCAAGUACUUUCCAAAAAGAUCUAAUUUAUUUAAUUAUUUAAUCAAGUUACCAUAGGGAUAACAGCGUAAUAAUUUUUUUAAGAUCCUAUUUAAAAAAUAGUUUGCGACCUCGAUGUUGAAUUAAUAUUCUAAUAAAUGCAAAAAUUUAUAAAAGAAAGUCUGUUCGACUU